AUUGAACGCUGGCGGCAUGCCUAACACAUGCAAGUCGAACGGUAACAGGCUCUUCGGAGUGCUGACGAGUGGCGGACGGGUGAGUAAUGCGUAGGAAUCUGCCUUUUAGUGGGGGAUAACCUGGGGAAACCCAGGCUAAUACCGCAUGUGGUCUAAGGACUAAAGCUGGGUUUUACCUGGCGCUUAGAAGAGGAGCCUACGUCAGAUUAGCUAGUUGGUGGGGUAAAGGCCUACCAAGGCGAAGAUCUGUAGCUGUUCUGAGAGGAUGAUCAGCCACACUGGGACUGAGACACGGCCCAG
rnacentral:rRNA from 1 species